rfam:Kurthia sp. 11kri321, complete genome.
AAUAGAGGUAGGCAAGAAAAGAACGCAACGUCCUGUUGCAAAUCUUGCCCCACUACAUCACGUAGC